rnacentral:rRNA from 1 species
UACGAAGGGUGCAAGCGUUAAUCGGAAUUACUGGGCGUAAAGCGUGCGUAGGCGGUUUGUUAAGUCUGUUGUGAAAGCCCUGGGCUCAACCUGGGAAUGGCAAUGGAAACUGGCGAGCUAGAGUCAGGUAGAGGGUGGUGGAAUUCCCGGUGUAGCGGUGAAAUGCGUAGAGAUCGGGAGGAACAUCUGUGGCGAAGGCGGCCACCUGGACCAUGACUGACGCUGAGGCACGAAAGCGUGGGGAGCAAACAGGG